GCACUUGUUUGGGCAGCGCACCUGCUGAAGGCGGAACGAUACAGAGAUGACUAGCACUGCCCCUGUGCAAAGCUGACAUGCGCAUUUGUGAAGGGCUCCAUAUUGUG
ensembl:snRNA LOC120095363 U6 spliceosomal RNA